AUGUCAUGAUGUGGACAUUUUCUCAGCAUUGCUUUUAAUCUUUCCCAUGCUUGAUAAACCGACUCAGUGUUAGUUUGCAAAAAAUUAGAUAUAUCUUGUCUUAACUU
rfam:Nicotiana attenuata strain TT scaffold04152, whole genome shotgun sequence.